GACGAACGCUGGCGGCGUGCUUAACACAUGCAAGUCGAACGGAAAGGCCCCUUUGGGGGUACUCGAGUGGCGAACGGGUGAGUAACACGUGAGUAACCUGCCCUGGACUUCGGGAUAACUUCAGGAAACUGGGGCUAAUACCGGAUAGGAAUCCUUGCUGCAUGGUGGGGGUUGGAAAGCUUCGGCGGUUUUGGAUGGACUCGCGGCUUAUCAGCUUGUUGGUGGGGUAGUGGCUUACCAAGGCUUUGACGGGUAGCCGGCCUGAGAGGGCGACCGGCCACAUUGGGACUGAGAUACGGCCCAGACUCCUACGGGAGGCAGCAGUGGGGAAUAUUGCACAAUGGGCGGAAGCCUGAUGCAGCAACGCCGCGUGCGGGAGGACGGCCUUCGGGUUGUAAACCGCUUUCAGCAGGGGCGAAGCUUGUGGUGACGGUACCUGCAGAAGAAGCACCGGCUAACUACGUG
rnacentral:rRNA from 1 species